AAUCCAAAUCUCAGCCAUGGCGAUUGCUUCAACCUCCACUCUUAUCUUCUCCUGCGCCAAACCCGAUCUCCGCCCAAUCCCCUCCCAUUUUCGUUCUUCUUCUCCUCCUCUUACAAGUCAGUUCCGUAUCCCUAGCCUAACCCAUGACCCGCUUUCUCUGUCGGGUCUUAUCGGAACCGGUUUGGUGGCUGCAACGUUCUUGGCGGGAGGACCAGAUAGUACUGCUUUGGCGGCGGUUGAUUCUCUUCAGCUAAGCGAACCGGCGAAUGCGUUGUCUUUACCCACUUGGGCUGUUCAUGUUUCCAGCGUUGUCGAAUGGUUACUCUCCUUCUUCCUUGCUCUAAUUGAUUCAACUUCCAUCUUAGAAAAAGAUUUGAACUUUUGAUCUGUAGUGUUACGAGAUAGUGUUUGCUGUUGUGGGUUUCUCGAUACCGGUCUAAAGAUUGAGACUUUGCGUUAAAAGAUCGAGACUUUGUUUGUGUGUUUGAUUUGAUGUUUUGUAGGAUUACGGCGAUGGCGUUGGUAUGGAAAUAUGGAGAAAGAAAGGGUUACGAGUCAUGGAAAGGUCUCUCAUGGGGAAUGGUUAGACCGUCUCUAACCUGAUUCAAACGGUUACUUCCUAGAUUCUUGUAUUUUCAUAUCUUUUUUUGUUUCUGUGUUGUUCCUUGUUCAGGUGCCUUUGCUUGGUGGAGCUCUUUGCGCAUGCACAUGGCAUUUCUUUUACAAUGCUGAAUCUCUUGAGGUGUGAAUUAAACCUCUUUUAUUCUCAUUUGGUGAAACACUGAUGAAUGAAUUGGACUAAGCUCUUAAACUCAAUGUUGUGAUUAUGGGCUUGCUUCAUUGUUAGGUGUUGGUCGCGCUUCAGGGAGCACUAACUGUGAUUGGUAAUAUUACUUUGUGCAUCGCUGCUUUUCGAAUCAACAAGUCUGGUGAUCUUUCACAUCUUGGAGCAGACCUGAACUGUGUAAGGAGUGAGACAAGGAGAUGUUUCAAGAGAUAAAAGCAAGUCAAGAGUUUCUCACGUGAGGGUUUUAUUGCAACAAUGCUUCUUCCUCUUUCUUCAUGGUCUCCAGCUGUCUUUUCGCAUACUUUGUGAUGAGAACCGUUGUAGCCACAGUUCCUAAAAAGCCGAGAAUGUUGAGAAUAAUCUGUGUAACUGAGAGCCCGUGUUUAUCUGCAGAAGAUGCUUCUGCUAAUGUCUUUACAAGAUUCCCUCUGCAACAUAGAUUCAACAGUGAAAAAGGGGACUUAAAAAGCUUCUAGAAGGAGCUAGAUGCUAUUCAGAGAUAGGAAAGCUGACUUACGUAUAGAUAGCAACAAAGAUCUCAGGGACCAUGCCCAAGAGAGAUCCAGUGAUGUAAGGACAGUACUUAACACGAGUUGCAACAGAACAGUAGUUAUAAAGAAUGUAAGGAAACGGAGAGAUCCGGAUUAAAGUCACUGCUCGAAACUGGUGAAACCAGUUCCCUUCACCCGCAGCUCUUAGCACCACUGCUUGAUCAGGAUAUCUUUCCAACCAUCCCUAUACAAUCAGGACCAGAUCUCAGUAACAUACACAAAUCGCAACUUCAUUGAUAAAAUUCAUCAUAAACAAUGAUAAUCAACCUGACAGCGUUUUAGUAAUGAACUGAGAUUAAAAAAUAAUAAUUAUUAUCAGGUUUUACUUGAAUUUUGUGGCGGAAGAGGUGUCCAAUGAAGUAAGGAAGCGAGACACCAACGGAUGCAGCUGAAAUAAUGAGAAGAAAGCCGUAGCCGUAACCAAAGGUCAUCCCAGCGAUCCACAUGGAGGGAGUAGAGGGAAGAAGUAUAGUCGGGAACACAGCCACGGAUGCAAAGACAAGAAGACCGCACACUGGAUGUGUGAAAGUCCUUAUCUCCCAUUUUAUAAUUGGGAUAAGCUCCUGCCAAAACCCAACCAAGUGGAUAACAGUUCCUCUAGUUAGCAAAAACAAAUAAAACACACACAGAUGAUCUCUAAUGCAAGAACUAUUGUAUGACCACUAACUAAGAGACAUGCAUUGGGUUGUAAUAAAGAACAAACCUUGUCCAUGAUUAAAGGACCGAGCCAUCUGUAAGAAACGAAGGCCAAGGAAGCAAGGAAAGAGAAUAAAAGAGCAAGCUUGGCCCAGAACCAAAACGGCGACGUAGCAGCCUCCUUUACUUCUUCUUCUUCUUUCUCUUCCUGCCCUGAUGAUGAUGAUGAUGAUUCGUGACCCUCACUCAGUUUCACAUAAGCCCCUUUCUCGACGUCUUUGUCAUCGGCUUGAAGUCUCGUCGGCAGCAAAAGAACCGCCUUUUCGUCUUCCGGACACGUCAUUGGAACACAAUCCAGAGACGGAAGGAGUCUAAUCGAGUGGAUUCCCCCGAUCCAGUGAUCGGAGAAGUAGAGCUUGCUUGGCGGAGAAGAAGAAUGCAAUUGAGAGACGGAGCCAAUUAAUUUGGCAAUUUUGCAACUGAGCAAGGUUUUAUUCUUGAGAAGGGAGAUUGUGUAUUCUUCUUCUUCUUUGCUUGUAAGCGAUUACCCUACACGGGUACAUUAGUCGCUUUCUUUCUCUUACACAUGUUUUCCACCAAUCACUUACUUUUAUUUUAUUUUUUUUUGUAAAAAAACGAAAAGUAACACCCAAUGCUGUUUUAUCUUUUCACUAUUUGAAUUUUACAUUUUUUAUUGUUUCACAAUCUAAAAUUUACAUUUUUUAACAAUGGAAGUUUUGAACCUCGUGCCGUAAUAUCUUCCAAAUCUUGAAAUUAACUUCUAAAUAUUUCGAUUUAAAAAAUAACAUUUUGUCUCAAAAGUGAUUUUAUAAAUUUAAUAGUUUAAUUAACAUGAGAAAAAUACAUUAUGAUAUCACUAAAAUUUUUUUUGUCACAAAUAUAGAUUCUAAAUAUCAAAUUGACCAAAAUAUUUGAUUAAAGAGGUAAAUAUACACUUAUACUCUUAAAACUAACUAAUUCAAACUUUAUGAUUUAGAGUUAAAGGGGGAUGAUCUCAGAUUAAGGAUUAAAAUUUUAUAAAAUCAAAAAAUAUAUUAAAAAAUUGAAAACAAAAAUUAAAAAAAUAGUUUCAAAAAGUAUUUCAAAUUACAAAAACAAAAUUUGAAAAAACAAUUCAAAAAAAAAAUUGUUAAAAAUUUUAAAUUUAAAAACAUAUAAUCUAAAACAAUAUAAUUUUAUUUUAUUUGCAUUUAUAUAUCUAGAAUAUUAUGAUCUUUUUUCUCUAUUAAAUGAAACAUUUUGGUUAUUUUUCUCUUUAAAAUAUAUUUUUGUUACAAAAACAUAAGAGAAAUUUUCAUGUAUUAAUAUUACUACUGCCGUUUUUGUCACAUGUACUAAAAUUUGCUUUCUUUUGUCUUUUGUGAAAACAAUAAAAGGACGGUUCGAUAAGUAAACCCGGUUUAAAAUUAAACCAAAAUCCAAAUCUCAGCCAUGGCGAUUGCUUCAACCUCCACUCUUAUCUUCUCCUGCGCCAAACCCGAUCUCCGCCCAAUCCCCUCCCAUUUUCGUUCUUCUUCUCCUCCUCUUACAAGUCAGUUCCGUAUCCCUAGCCUAACCCAUGACCCGCUUUCUCUGUCGGGUCUUAUCGGAACCGGUUUGGUGGCUGCAACGUUCUUGGCGGGAGGACCAGAUAGUACUGCUUUGGCGGCGGUUGAUUCUCUUCAGCUAAGCGAACCGGC
rnacentral:lncRNA from 1 species